CCUACGGGAGGCAGCAGUGAGGAAUAUUGGUCAAUGGACGCAAGCCUGAACCAGCCAAGUAGCGUGCAGGAUGACGGCCCUACGGGUUGUAAACUGCUUUUAUACGGGAAUAACGCGCCUUACGUGUAGGGCUUUGCAGGUACCGUAUGAAUAAGGACCGGCUAAUUCCGUGCCAGCAGCCGCGGUAAUACGGAAGGUCUGGGCGUUAUCCGGAUUUAUUGGGUUUAAAGGGAGCGUAGGCCGCAUGUCAAGCGUGCUGUGAAAUGCCCGGGCUCAACCCGGGCAGUGCAGCGCGAACUGGGGUGCUUGAGUGCGCGGGAGGUAGGCGGAAUUCGUGGUGUAGCGGUGAAAUGCUUAGAUAUGACGAAGAACCCCGAUUGCGAAGGCAGCUUGCUGUAGCGGUACUGACGCUGAUGCUCGAAAGUGCGGGUAUCGAACAGGAUUAGAUACCCUUGUAGUC
rnacentral:rRNA from 1 species